GGGGAUUUAGCUCAGUGACAUAAGCGCCUGCCUUGCAAGCAGGCAGUUGUGAGUUCGAUCCCCA
rnacentral:tRNA from 1 species